rnacentral:rRNA from 1 species
GACGAACGCUGGCGGCGCGCUUAACACAUGCAAGUCGAACGGAAAGGCCUGCUUUCCCUUGUGGAUUGCGGGUACUCGAGUGGCGAACGGGUGAGUAACACGUGAGUGAUCUGCCCCCAACUUGGUUAUAAGCCUGGGAAACUGGGUCUAAUUCCCGAUAGGACUGCAGGGUUGUGCCUUUGGUGGAAAACUUUUUUCUAGUUGUUGGGGGUUAGCUCGCGGCCUAUCAGCUUGUUGGUGGGGUAAUGGCCUACCCAGGCGGCGGCGGGUAGCCGAGCUGGGAGGGUGGAAGGCGAACUUGGGAAUGAGACACGGCCCAGCCUCCUACGGGAGGAAGCAGUGGGGAAUAUUGCACGAUGGGCGGAAGGCUGAUGCAGCGACGACGCGUGGGGAUGACGGCCUUCGGGUUGUAAACUACUUUCGAACGCGAGGAAGCCAACUGGCUGGAAGGGUGGUGACGGUAGUGGUAGAAGAAGCAACGGCUAACUACGUG